UCGAAGUAUCGCGGUUGGUGAAACUUUUUUGAUCAUGGUAUAUUCGAGGAUCCUCGUCUGAGUUCCAGUUCCCUUGUUCGACGCUUUUCGAGCGAAAAAUUUCUAUUCAAAGGGAACGAUGUUUCGAACGCGCUACUACGAAAUUGUUACUACAUACAAAGAAAGACAGAAGUAGAUUGUAAUUGACCCAAAGAGAAAUAAUAACUACAAAACCACCAUGAAUUAUCAUAGUUACAAGACCAGAGGAGCUGAUAAAUGGGAUUUAAAUCACUAGUCUGUGGAAGGAUGUUCCCUCGAGACGGAUACGCGCUGUCGUUGGCAUGGAAUGGCGACGUGGAAGACGCGGUUGACCCGUUUAAAAAAGAUCACCCUCGCAUCUGUUGCUGAGUGCAACAGAUCCCCGAUCCGGACGGAGAAGCC